UAGGGUUUAGAGUUAAAGGUUUAGGGUUUAGAGUUGAUAUUACAGGGUUUAGGGUUAAAUUUUUAGGGUUUAGAGUUUACUUUUUAGGGUUUAGAGUUUAGUGUUGAUAGUUUAGGGUUUAGUGUUGAUGGUUAAGGGUUUAGAGUUGAAGUUUAGAGUUUAGGGUUUAGAGUUGAAGGUUUAGGGUUUAGGGUUUAGAGUUGAUGUUUCAGGGUUUAGGGUUUAGAGUUGAUGUUUUCGGGCUUAGGGUUCGUAUUUCAAAAAAAAAAAGGUUUAAGAUUGAUGGUUUAGGGUUUAGGUUCGUAUUUCAAAAAAAAGGUUUAGGAUUAAAGGUUUUGGUUUU
rnacentral:lncRNA from 1 species